rnacentral:rRNA from 1 species
CAAAGCCGCGAGGCGGAGCGAAUCCCCAAAAGGCGUCUCAGUUCGGAUUGCAGGCUGCAACUCGCCUGUAUGAAGUCGGAAUUGCUAGUAAUCGUGGAUCAGCAUGCCACGGUGAAUACGUUCUCGGGCCUUGUACACACCGCCCGUCACACCAUGAGAGCCGGGAACACCCGAAGUCCGUAGUCUAACCUAUAUGGAGGACGCGGCCGAAGGUGGGUUUGGUAAUUGGGGUGAAGUCGUAACAAGGUAUC